CCUACGGGAGGCAGCAGUGAGGAAUAUUGGUCCAUGGGCGGAAGCCUGAACCAGCCAAGUAGCGUGCAGGAUGACGGUCCUACGGGUUGUAAACUGCUUUUAUACGGGAAUAACGAGCCUUACGUGUAGGGCUUUGCAUGUACCUUAUGAAUAAGGACCGGCUAAUUCCGUGCCAGCAGCCGCGGUAAUACGGAAGGUCCGGGCGUUAUCCGGAUUUAUUGGGUUUAAAGGGAGCGUCGGCCGCAUGUCAAGCGUGCUGUGAAAUGUCCGGGCUCAACCCGAGCCUUGCAGCGUGAACUGGCUGGCUUGAGUCCGCGUAAGGCAGGCGGAAUUCGUCGUGUAGCGGUGAAAUGCUUAGAUAUGACGAAGAACCCCGAUUGCGAAGGCAGCUUGCUGCAGCGGAACUGACGCUGAUGCUCGAAAGCGCGGGUAUCGAACAGGAUUAGAUACCCGAGUAGUC
rnacentral:rRNA from 1 species